rnacentral:rRNA from 1 species
GACGAACGCUGGCGGCGUGCUUAACACAUGCAAGUCGAACGAAGUGGCGAACGGGUGAGUAAUACGUGGGUAACCUGCCCUACAUUUUGGGAUAAGCCUUGGAAACGGGGUCUAAUACCGAAUCAAGGGGGGUGGGCUCGCGGCCUAUCAGCUUGUUGGUGGGGGGAUGGCCUACCAAGGAGGUGACGGGUAGCCGGCCUGGGAGGGUGACCGGCCACAGUGUGGCUGAGAUCCGGCACAGACCCGUACGGGCGGAAGCAGUGGGGGAUAUGGUACAAUUGGCGAGAGCCUGAUGCAGCGACGCCGCGUGGGGGAUGAAGGCUUUCGGGUUGUAAACCUUUAUCAAUAUCGAACGGGUAGGGGGAGAAGGACCGCGGGCUAAGUAGGUGCCACCGGCCGGGGUAAUU